rnacentral:tRNA from 1 species
ACUAUUUUGUCAGACAAUAUGUACUGAACUUAGGAUUCAGUUAAAUAGAAUUUAAUUCUAUAAAUAGUA